rnacentral:lncRNA from 1 species
UGUUUUUGGUGAUGUCUCGAGUAGGGGAAGAAGAGGCCAAGAGCCUAGCCUAGGUGUUGCCAAUUAAAGAUGCUUUCUUAAGUAAGCAAAUCUUGGCAGGGUGCCUAGACACAGCCCGUGAAGGCCCUCUGGCCUUUUGCAAAUACCCUGUGAAGAGAUAUUGCUCCGGCUAUAGAAGCUGAAGCCCAGAAAAAAAUGUCCGCUGUGGGCUGCUAUGGACUCCUCAUCAUUCAGAGAAAGGCAACUGGCCAGCGAGGAGUGGUUGUUAACAGCGGCUAAGUGUGGAAGGACAGUGACAGAAAUCUGUAAAAAGAACAAGACAGGAGGGGUCAGCCAGGAGAGACAUGCCCUUAAAGAAGAAUUAACAAUGUAUGAUGGAGAUUAUGAUAGGAGAAUUAUAGAUACUUAUACAAACGUAACAAGGACUCUAAGCUAAAUCUGCGAAUUGUACAAGACUGACUGAGGAGACACGGUACAGACCAAGAACAAGCGAAGGAAUAGGAGAUAACCAGAAGAAGAGAGAAUACCACAUUCCAGGCUAUUCCAAGGGAUAGCUUUUAUUAGCCAUGAGCUAACAUCUGCUGCUAAUCCUCCUCCUUUUGCUGAUGAAGACUGGCCCUGAGCUAACAUCCGUACCCAUCUUCCUCUACUUUAUACAUGGGACGCCUGCCACAGCAUGGCUUGACUAGCGGCGCCGUGUCCGCACCUGGGAUCCGAACUGGCAAACCCUGGGCUGCUGAGAAGCAGAACGUGCGAACUUAACCGCUGCGCCACCAGGCUGGCCUCUCUUAGCAACUUUGAAGUAUAUAACAUGGUAUGGUUGAGCAUAAUCACUAUGCUGGGCAUUAGAUCCCCAGAACUUCUCCACCUUUUAAGUGGAAGUUUGUACCCUUUGACCAACAUCUCCCCAAUUCCUCCAUCCUAAGCCCCUGGUAACCACCAUUCUACUCUCUGUUUCUAUGAGUUCAUCUUUUUUGUUUUUAUUUAUUUAUUUAUUUUAAAGAUUGGCACCUGAGCUAACAACUGUUGCCAAUCUUCUUUUUCUUUUUUCCUGCUUUUCCUCCCCAAAGCCCCCCAGUACAUAGUUGUAUAUUUUAGUUGUGGGUCCUUCUAGUUGUGGCGUGUGGGAUGCCGCCUCAGCAUGGCCUGGUGAGCGGUGCCAUGUCCUCACCCAGGAUCCCAACCGGAGAAACCCCGGGCUGCCAAAGCAGAGCGCACGAACUUAACCACUCGGCCACGGGGCAGCCCCUAGUUCAUCUUUUUUAGAUUUCAUAUAUAAUUGAGAUCAUACAGUAUUUGUCUUUCCUGUUUGAUUUCUCUCACUUAGCAUAUGCCCUCAAGGUCUGCCCAUGCUGUUGAAGAAGGCAGGAUUUCCUUCUUUCUCAUGACUGAAUAAUAUUCCAUUUUAUUUAUCCGUUCAUCUGUUGAUGGACAUUUAG